UACAGAGGUCUCAAGCGUUGUUCGGAUUCAUUGGGCGUAAAGGGUGCGUAGGCGGCGCCGUAAGUCAGGUGUGAAAUUUCGGAGCUUAACUCCGAAACUGCAUUUGAUACUGCGGUGCUUGAGGACUGGAGAGGAGACUGGAAUUCAUGGUGUAGCAGUGAAAUGCGUAGAGAUCAUGAGGAAGACCAGUGGCGAAGGCGGGUCUCUGGACAGUUCCUGACACUGAGACACGAAGGCCAGGGGAGCAAACGGG
rnacentral:rRNA from 1 species